UCUGUUUGAUCCUGCCAGUAGAGAUAUGAUUGUCUUAAAGAUUAAGCCAUGCAUGUCUAAGUACACACGAAUUAACAGUGAAACCGCAAAAGGCUCAUUAUAUCAGUUAUGGUUCCCUUGAUCGUUAACAGUAACGUGGCUAACUGUGGCUAACUGUGUUUUGGGACGUGUGCUUUUAUUAGGCUAAAACCAAGCGAUCUUUGAUCGUUUAUAUGGUUGAACUCUAGAAAACUUGCAGAUCGUAUGGUCUCGUACCGACGACAGAUCUUUCAAAUGUCUGCCCUAUCAAUUUUUGAUGGUAGCAUCUAGGACUACCAUGGUUCCAACGGGGAAUCAGGGUUCGAUUGCGGAGGGGGAGCCUGAGAAACGGCUACCACAUCUAAGGAAGGCAGCAGGCGCGUAAAUUGCCCACUCCCAGCUCGGGGAGGUAGUGACGAAAAAUAACAAUACAGGACUCAUAUUAGACGCCCUGUAAUUGGAAUGAGUACACUUUAAAUCCCUUAACAAGGACCUAUUGGAGGGCAAGUCUGGUGCCAGCAGCCGAGGUAACUCCAGUCCCAAUAGCGUAUAUGAAAGUAGUUGCGGUUAAAACGUUCGUAGUUGAACUCGUGCUUCAUACGGGUAGUACAACUAUAAUUGUAGUUCGUACUAUACCUUAUGUAUGUAAGCUUAUUACCGGUGAAGUUCUUACAUGCAUAAGUACUUGUAUUUAUAUAUGUUCCUCCUAUUUAAACCUGCUUCAGUGUUUUUCAUCGAGUGAUGUUUUGGGCCUAUACAAUUACUUUGAACAAAUUAAAGUGCUUAAAGCAGACUCCAAAUGCCUUAAUAUUUUGUGCAUGGAAUAAUGAAAUAAGACCUCUGUUCUACUUUCAUUGGUUUUUGGAUCUAGAGGUAAUGAUUAAUAAAAGCAUUUUGGGGGCAUUAGUAUUACGACGCGAGAGGUGAAAUUCUUGGACCAUCGUGAGUCUAACUUAAGCGAAAGCAUUUGCCAAAGAUGUUUUCAUUAAUCAAGAACCAAAGUUAAAGGUCCGAAGGUGGUUAAAGGCGAAGGUCAGAUACCGCCCUAGUUCUAACCAUAAACAAUACCAGCUAGCAAUUGGAUGUAGCUACUAUAAUAGCUCUCUCAGUCGCUUCCUGGGAAACUAAAGCUUUUGGGCUUCGGGGAAGUAUGGUUGCAAAGCUGAAACUUAAAGGAUUGACGGAAGGACACCACCAGGAGUGGAGCCUGCGGCCGUUCUUAGUUCGUGGAGUGAUUUGUCUGGUUAAUUCCGAAAACGAACGAGACUCAAAUAUAUUAAAUAGAUACUUUCAGGAUCAUGGUGUAGAAGCUUUUAUAGCCUUCAUCUGCGACCGCAGUAAAAUGCGUUAGUGGUUGAAUGUGUUUAUAGAAGUGGAGCCGUACCUGUUGGUUUGUCCCGUUAUAAGGACACUAGCUUCUUAAAUGGACAAAUUGCGUCUAGCAAUAAUGAGAUUGAGCAAUAACAGGUCUGUGAUGCCCUUGAAUGUUCUGGAGUGCACGCGUGCUACAAUGAAAGUAUCAACGUGUCUUUCCUAGACCGAGAGGUCCGGGUAAACCGCUGAACCACUUCCAUGCUCGGGAUUGUGACUUUUAAAUUUUUACAUGAUCUGUUUCUUAGAUGAGUGCAAAACGGUAAGAAAGGACCUAAUAUUUGACAAAUUAUUUUUAAAAUUG
rnacentral:rRNA from 1 species